rnacentral:rRNA from 1 species
CCUUUUGCAUAAUGAGCCAGCGAGUUGCUCGUAUGUUGCAAGGUUAAUCCCAUUAUGGGAGGAGCCGCAGCGAAAGCGAGUCUGAACAGGGCGAUUCAGUAACAUGCGGCAGACCCGAAGCCGAGUGAUCUAUCCAUGGCCAGGUUGAAGCGACAGUAACAUGUCGUGGAGGACCGAACCCACCAGGGUUGAAAACCUGGGGGAUGAGCUGUGGAUAGGGGUGAAAGGCCAAUCAAACUCGGCGAUAUCUGGUUCUCCCCGAAAUGCCUUUAGGGGCAGCGUCGUGGAAGUGCCUCGGGGGUAGAGCACUGGAUGGACUAGGGGCCCUACAAGGUUACCAAACCCAACCAAACUCCGAAUACCGAGGUUACGAUCUGCGGCAGUGAGGCCACGGGGGAUAAGCUUCGUGGCCAAGAGGGAAACAACCCAGACCAACAGCUAAGGUCCCAAAAUCUGAGUUAAGUGACUAAGGAUGUAAGAUUGCACAGACAGCUAGGAGGUUGGCUUAGAAGCAGCCAUCCUUUAAAGAAAGCGUAAUAGCUCACUAGUUAAGGAAUCUUGCGCCGAUAAUCUCCGGGACUGUUAAACUCAGUACCGAAGCUCUGGUCCCGGCACAUUUGUGUCGGGAGGUAGGGGAGCGUUCCAUCAACCUGUGAAGUCCUAGACGGGAGUCGGGAUGGAGGAAAUGGAAGUGAGUAUGCUGGCAUGAGUAGCGAUAAUUCCAGUGAAAUUCUGGGACACCAAAAGCCUAAGGUUUCCUGAGUAAAGUAACUCUGCUCAGGGUUAGUCGGUCCCUAAGCCGAGGCCGAAAGGCGUAGGCGAUGGAUAACAGGUGAAUAUUCCUGUACCACCCAAUCAUCGUUUGAACGAUGGGGGGACGCAGAAGUGAAAGAUCAGCCCGGUUUUGAUUGUCCGGGUUUAAGUGUGUAGGGAGUUCUGGCAGGCAAAUCCACCGGAACCAUCCUGAGACACGAAUAGGAGGGCCUAGCCCACAAACUGAUCCUAAUCAUGCUGCCAAGAAAAUCCUCUAAGUGAGAUUUUUGGGUGACCGUACCGUAAACGGACACACGUAGGCGAGAAGAGUAUUCUAAGGUGCUUGGGUUAAUCGUGGUAAAGGAACUCGGCAAAUUGGCCCCGUAACUUCGGGAGAAGGGGCGCCUCAAGUAGGUAAAGGCCUUCGCGGCUGGAGCCCAAAGAGGUCGCAGAAACCAGAGUUGAGCGACUGUUUACCAAAAACACAGGUCUCUGCUAAGUCGCAAGACGAAAUAUAGGGACUGACACCUGCCCGGUGCCGGAAGGUUAAGUAGAGGGGUUAUCUCGAUUCGUCGAGAGAAGCUCUGAAAUGAAGCCCCGGUGAACGGCGGCCGUAACUAUAACGGUCCUAAGGUAGCGAAAUUCCUUGUCGGGUAAGUUCCGACCCGCACGAAUGGUGUAACGACUUGACUACUGUCUCUACCACGAGCCCAGCGAAAUUGCAGUGUCGGUGAAGAUACCGGCUACCCGCGGCAGGACGGAAAGACCCCGUGAACCUUUACUACAUCCUGACAUUGGGUUUUGGUUAUGUAUGUGUAGGAUAGGUGGGAGGCUUUGAAGCUCGGACGCUAGUUCGGGUGGAGC